UCGCUCCUACCGAUUUCGAGUGGUCCGGUGAGCCUUUCGGACUGUGACGGUGCUCGACACCGACGCGGAAAGUCUGGCAAAUCUUACUACUUAGAGGAAGGAG
rnacentral:rRNA from 1 species